rnacentral:piRNA from 1 species
CGGAGGAUGAUGAGCAGGCUGACCCA